GACGAACGCUGGCGGCGUGCCUAAUACAUGCAAGUCGAACGAACUCUGGUAUUGAUUGGUGCUUGCAUCAUGAUUUACAUUUGAGUGAGUGGCGAACUGGUGAGUAACACGUGGGAAACCUGCCCAGAAGCGGGGGAUAACACCUGGAAACAGAUGCUAAUACCGCAUAACAACUUGGACCGCAUGGUCCGAGUUUGAAAGAUGGCUUCGGCUAUCACUUUUGGAUGGUCCCGCGGCGUAUUAGCUAGAUGGUGGGGUAACGGCUCACCAUGGCAAUGAUACGUAGCCGACCUGAGAGGGUAAUCGGCCACAUUGGGACUGAGACACGGCCCAAACUCCUACGGGAGGCAGCAGUAGGGAAUCUUCCACAAUGGACGAAAGUCUGAUGGAGCAACGCCGCGUGAGUGAAGAAGGGUUUCGGCUCGUAAAACUCUGUUGUUAAAGAAGAACAUAUCUGAGAGUAACUGUACAGGUAUUGACGGUAUUUAACCAGAAAGCCACGGCUAACUACGUGCCAGCAGCCGCGGUAAUACGUAGGUGGCAAGCGUUGUCCGGAUUUAUUGGGCGUAAAGCGAGCGCAGGCGGUUUUUUAAGUCUGAUGUGAAAGCCUUCGGCUCAACCGAAGAAGUGCAUCGGAAACUGGAAAACUUGAGUGCAGAAGAGGACAGUGGAACUCCAUGUGUAGCGGUGAAAUGCGUAGAUAUAUGGAAGAACACCAGUGGCGAAGGCGGCUGUCUGGUCUGUAACUGACGCUGAGGCACGAAAGUAUGGGUAGCAAACAGGAUUAGAUACCCUGGUAGUCCAUACCGUAAACGAUGAAUGCUAAGUGUUGGAGGGUUUCCGCCCUUCAGUGCUGCAGCUAACGCAUUAAGCAUUCCGCCUGGGGAGUACGGCCGCAAGGCUGAAACUCAAAGGAAUUGACGGGGGCCCGCACAAGCGGUGGAGCAUGUGGUUUAAUUCGAAGCUACGCGAAGAACCUUACCAGGUCUUGACAUACUAUGCAAAUCUAAGAGAUUAGACGUUCCCUUCGGGGACAUGGAUACAGGUGGUGCAUGGUUGUCGUCAGCUCGUGUCGUGAGAUGUUGGGUUAAGUCCCGCAACGAGCGCAACCCUUAUUAUCAGUUGCCAGCAUUAAGUUGGGCACUCUGGUGAGACUGCCGGUGACAAACCGGAGGAAGGUGGGGAUGACGUCAAAUCAUCAUGCCCCUUAUGACCUGGGCUACACACGUGCUACAAUGGAUGGUACAACGAGUUGCGAACUCGCGAGAGUAAGCUAAUCUCUUAAAGCCAUUCUCAGUUCGGAUUGUAGGCUGCAACUCGCCUACAUGAAGUCGGAAUCGCUAGUAAUCGCGGAUCAGCAUGCCGCGGUGAAUACGUUCCCGGGCCUUGUACACACCGCCCGUCACACCAUGAGAGUUUGUAACACCCAAAGUCGGUGGGGUAACCUUUUAGGAACCAGCCGCCUAAGGUGGGACAGAUGAUUAGGGUG
rnacentral:rRNA from 1 species